UACGUAGGAUGCAAGCGUUGUCCGGAUUUACUGGCGUAAAGCGCGCGCAGGCGGUCGUUCAAGUCGCGUGUGAAAGCCCCCGGCUCAACUGGGAGGGUCACGCGAUACUGAUCGACUCGAAGGCAGGAGAGGGUAGUGGAAUUCCCGGUGUAGUGGUGAAAUGCGUAGAUAUCGGGAGGAACACCAGUGGCGAAGGCGACUACCUGGCCUGUUCUUGACGCUGAGGCGCGAAAGCUAGGGGAGCAAACGGG
rnacentral:rRNA from 1 species